AUGCGACGAGUGCGAGCCGGGAUGCGGCCAGGCUUGCAAUGCGCAGCGCCCCUACUUCUGCAACAGCUUUUGCAACAUCUUUCCCACCCUGUGCAACUACUGCUUCCUCAUCCAAUCCGACUUGUGCGUGCCCGGGUGCACAAACCUCUGCAGGAUCAACUGCGUGUGAUCGACCAUGCAGGAACACAUCGACAUGAGUGGACUCCAGAGUGUCGAUGA
rnacentral:rRNA from 1 species